AACGAACGCUGGCGGCAUGCCUAACACAUGCAAGUCGAACGAAGUCUUCGGACUUAGUGGCGCACGGGUGCGUAACGCGUGGGAAUCUGCCCUUGGGUGCGGAAUAACUUCUCGAAAGGGAUGCUAAUACCGCAUAAUGUCGUAAGACCAAAGAUUUAUCGCCCAAGGAUGAGCCCGCGUAAGAUUAGCUAGUUGGUGGGGUAAAAGCCUACCAAGGCGACGAUCUUUAGCUGGUCUGAGAGGAUGAUCAGCCACACUGGGACUGAGACACGGCCCAGACUCCUACGGGAGGCAGCAGUGGGGAAUAUUGGACAAUGGGCGAAAGCCUGAUCCAGCAAUGCCGCGUGAGUGAUGAAGGCCCUAGGGUUGUAAAGCUCUUUUACCCGGGAUGAUAAUGACAGUACCGGGAGAAUAAGCCCCGGCUAACUCCGUGCCAGCAGCCGCGGUAA
rnacentral:rRNA from 1 species